CCUUCGAUAGCUCAGCUGGAAGAGCAUCAGACUGUAAUUGGAAGUAUUAUCUGGGGGUCCCUGGUUCGAUCCCGGGUCGAAGGA